AACACCGUUUUUUGAGUAUUUAAAUUGCGUUUAUUUGGUAAAUCCCCGGUUGACAAGGCGUCACGCUUUGUUAAUGUUUCUUUCUUCCACCAACGUCACGGUUGACAGGGGUGCGAUGUCACAGUCGGCGGAGAACAGCCUGUUAAUAACCACACAACUAACAGUGGGCAACUGCGAGAGAAGAUGACGGUCCGUGAUAAUGAUGAUGAUGGUGACGACGUUGCAGCUGUGACGGAGGCACUUGGUGCAUUUGUCAUCAAGAUUUUUGUGGUCUCCAAACCAGGGACUGAAGAAGGUGACUCUGAGUGGGCUGGGAUUGUGCUCGAGGGUACGGCAUUGCAGAUGUGGAGCAUGUGCCUACCUUAUGGGCCUCACACAUCAAAUUAACAUGUGCAGAACACCGUGCUCUUUGUUUGUCCUGGAAGGUGCACAGCAGGAAAAGGGAUGCGCUUUGUUGAAGACUCACCUUUUCAUCGUGAUUCAAGGUAAGUAGUUUGGCUGAUCUACCUGCUAAUAUAAACACUACACAACAGCAGCAGUGUGCACAACAGGAAGUGUCAGACAUGUGACACUCACCUCUGUCUAUUGUUAGACACAAACUGUUUUUGGUGAGGGACAUGAAGAUGUGUCAUUGUAUAUUUUGAAAUAUAGUUCUCCAUUUUUCCUGUUGUCAGAAUAAGUAUUUUCAAUGUUUGAUCACUCUGUUUAUGUUUGUGAGAGCACUUACGCUCCAUUUGAAUGUGACACCCUUCCUUUGUUUAUCCUGGGAAGGACUGUUUAUGUAUUAUUAUAUGUAUUAUUGUUAUUUAUGAUUUUUAUGCUUUGUUUGUUCUGUUACAAUAUAUUUGUUCAAGUUUACAGUUGUGGAAUUAAUGUUUUUACAAUGUCAAGCUUCGAAAACGGCUCGAUCUCUGUUUUUGAGUCUGUGACAGUAAGAUAAAUCAAAAAAAUUCAAUCCAUCCAAAAUAUAAUCAUUAGCCUUAGAGUAAAUUCAACUUAAGCGUUAACAUUUAUAUGAAUAAGAAGCAUUUGUCUUUACUAAAUUAAAACACUCUUAUUUAACACAAUUAAAACAAGUUUGGAGAAAUGCGUAACUAAAUUAAACAAAUUUACUCAAGUUACCUGAAUAAUAAAUGUUUGAGUCACUUUUAUUUUAAUAAUAUACUUUCUUAUAUUCAUGUUAUUUGAGUUCUUAAACUAAAUUGAUAUAAGGGAAUUAGUUUACGUUUAAUUUGUGUGCUAAGGAUAAAACCGGAGUCAAAUUCCUUGUAUGUGUUCACAUACUUGGCCAAUAAAGCUGAUACUGAUUCUGAUUCUGGUUUCCUCAAUCUGUUUGAGUUGAACUAACUCAUCAGGUUUUACAGUGUAUUAUGACAAUGAAGUCAUUCCUCCCCUAUCAGUGUUUCGAUGCCUCAAGCUAUGGGAAUCACUGACCAGUGUAUUAUACUGUAUUUUUCUCUUGACUGCUUCCUUGAAUAUAGAAUAUCAGGCCAGUGGCUGAACAUUUCUCCUUCUCAUGUUAUUCAAACUGCACCUGUCCCCCA